rnacentral:rRNA from 1 species
AGGGUUCGACUCCGGAGAGGGAGCCUUAGAAACGGCUACCACAUCCAAGGAAGGCAGCAUGCGCGAAACUUAUCCAAUCUUGAAUAGAUGAGAUAGUGACUAAAAAUAAAAAGACCAUUCCUAUGGAACGGUCAUUUCAAUGAGUUGAUCAUAAACCUUUUUUCSAGGAUCAAGUGGAGGGCAAGUCURGUGCCAGCAGCCKCSGUAAUUCCAGCUCCACUARUGUAAAUMGUCAUUGSUGCGGUUAAAAAGCUCGUAGUUGGAUCUGAGUCGCAUGCAGUAGUUCGCCUUUAACAAUAAUUAUUGUUGUGACUAUUUGCUGGU